rnacentral:rRNA from 1 species
UACGUAGGGGGCAAGCGUUGUCCGGAAUCAUUGGGCGUAAAGAGCGCGUAGGCGGUCCGGUAAGUCCGCUCUGAAAGUCCGGGGCUCAACCCCGGGAGGCGGGCGGAUACUGUCGGGCUAGAGUCCGGAAGAGGCGAGUGGAAUUCCUGGUGUAGCGGUGAAAUGCGCAGAUAUCAGGAGGAACACCGAUGGCGAAGGCAGCUCGCUGGGACGGUACUGACGCUGAGGCGCGAAAGCCAGGGGAGCAAACGGG